GUAGUCCACGCUGUAAACGAUGAUCACUAGAUGUAGGUCUUGCUUUGCGAGAUCUGUGUCGUAGCAAACGCGUUAAGUGAUCCGCCUGGGAAUUACGGCCGCAAGGCUAAAACUCAAAGGAAUUGACGGGGGUCCGCACAAGCGGUGGAACAUGUGGUUUAAUUCGACACUACGCGAGAAACCUUACCUAGGCUUGACAUGUAUAUGCUGUUCUAUGAAAGUAGAAGUUCCAAGCUUGCUUGGACAUAUACACAGGUGCUGCAUGGCUGUCGUCAGCUCGUGUCGUGAGAUGUUGGGUUAAGUCCUUUAACGAGCGCAACCCCUGCUGUCAGUUGCUAGUCCUUCGGGGCGCACUCUGGCAGGACUGCCUGGGAAACCAGGA
rnacentral:rRNA from 1 species